GGCUGGAAACUUCUCCCAAAAAGCCAGGCCCGUUCAGCUGGGAAUCCCCACAAAAUGAGAAUGAGGGGAUUGAAAGUGUUUUUGUUCGAAGAGCUCUGGCAUGGAGGCCACAGUCCUUCCAUGAAAUGUAACAAAGCGGGGCAGUUCACUCCUGAACACUUACCCGCACUGUACAGCAGAAGCUGCUUGGGAUGAGCGACUGCUACAGGAGGAAAAUGAAGUAGGAAACUACAUAAAAAUCCAGCUUUCCUGUGAGUAUAAAAAAGGAAGAAAAGGGUUAUAGACAAGAGAUGCCCGAGAGAGACAAGAAUUAUGAAGACAACCAAAUGUUCUCUAUCAGCCAAAGCCAAAAUGAACAUGUGCCUUGUACUAAGAAAUCCCAGGAUUGUCACAACUUGUGCCAGCUGUUGAGGUUGUGACACCUGUGCCAGCAUCGCCAGCUCUGCCCACUGUCAUCUGUUCCAACUGUUCCAUCUGCACUGUUUGUACCAAUUCUCCCAUUUCUGCAUCUGCACCUUCUGCAGAAACGUUUCCAACAA